UGGAGAUUGUUCAUAUAGAUAAACAAUAGCUGCCAAAGCAUAUUUUUGAAUGAUCAAAUAAUGGCUUGGCUAGUCACCAAGUCAUCAUCAGAAGUUGGACCUCCUUUUGCUCUGGGGAGAAUAAAAAGGAACAGAUCUCUCCCUCAGACAUCACAUCCUUCUUCAGCAAUCCUUCGAUUCUCCUGUGGUGCUGCACUACUAAAGAAUCAUUCAAGAUGAAAACCUUCAUUCUGAUCGCUUGCAUCCUGGGGACUGCUCUCGGCCGCCCACAAAGGCUGGUCAUGGAGUUUGACUUCCAGGCUGCCAAUGCUCAGGCUCUCCGAGCUGGACAAGCCAGACCUGAUCUAGAGAUUAUCCUUCCUGUUGGUGGUGGAGUACCUUCGGGUGGUUUCAUCAAACAGGAGAUCCCCCAGCCACUCGGCCAGGAGAGCGUUGAGAUCUACCACCCCUUCUUCAUUCAGGUUGCCCCUCCUGCUCCUGCUUCACCUGCCCAUACUCAUACAUCCGAUGAGGAAGAUGAAUAGAGAUAUUACCAAUACUUGGAGAUCUACAAUACCCUUCGAUGAAACAACGAUGUCCUUCAACUCCACAGCUGCUCUUAGUGUCCUAGAUUGAUUCAGUAAAUGCAUUGCUUAACCCAGCAAUUAACAUAGAGUAACAUGGUGCUGAACCGAUUGCUUGAUGCAUGAAAGCUGUGUGUAAUUGUUUGUACCUGGCAGAAUAAUGUUAAUAAAACCCCCAGAAUGUUUUGCCAACCUUCUCCAUACCAUGCCUCAAUUUUAUUUCUUGUCUCUGCUUGUUAGUCUGUGGCAUUGAUGACAUUCAAUGAUUUUCAGUUCUUCUCAAUUGCGUACACAUUUUUGUAACAAUGUCAUUUUUCUAGACAGUGUACACAAGACACAAAACUCAAUGUCGUAAAUUUUCCAAAUGUUGUUACUUUCUUGAAACAGCAAAU
rnacentral:lncRNA from 8 species